GUCUGUAAUGGAUGAUAUCUAUGACGCAUUCGGUACAUUUGAAGAACUUGAGAACUUUACCGAAGCAAUUCAUCAAAGGUUUGAAAUUAUUUAUUAAAAAAAAAAAAUGUUUUGUUUAUAUGCUUCAGAUGAAUAUGGUGUAUGCAAUUUACAGAUGGCAUGCCAAUUGCAUGGAUGGACUGCCAGACUACAUGCAAACAUUCUUCCAUGCGCUUUUGAAUGUUUUCAAUGAAAUUGAGGAGGAGAUGGUGAAAGAAGGAAGAGCAUACCGAGCUCACUAUGCAAAAGAAGCGGUAUGUUAAUUAAUUAAAGAAACACACAGCUUAUUAAUUCACUAUUACAAUUAAUUUACAUAAUAUUUAUGUCCCACAUAUGCAGUGGAAAACUAUUACCAAAGCUUACUUUGAUGAGGCCAAAUGGUUCCACGAAGGAUGCAUCCCAAGCAUGGAGGAGUAUAUGCGUGUUGCUGCAACUUCUGCUGCUAGCUUCGCACUUUCAGCUACAUCUUUAGUUGGCAUGGGAGAUAUUGUAACCAAGGAGUCCUUUGAGUGGUUGUUCAAUGACCCUAAAAUGCUUAGAGCUUCCAAUAUCAUUGUUAGGCUCAUGGAUGACAUCGUUUCGAGCAAGGUACACAAAGA
rnacentral:lncRNA from 1 species